rnacentral:rRNA from 1 species
UACGAAGGGGGCUAGCGUUGCUCGGAAUCACUGGGCGUAAAGGGUACGUAGGCGGGUCUUUAAGUCAGGGGUGAAAUCCUGGAGCUCAACUCCAGAACUGCCUUUGAUACUGAGGGUCUUGAGUCCGGGAGAGGUGAGUGGAACUGCGAGUGUAGAGGUGAAAUUCGUAGAUAUUCGCAAGAACACCAGUGGCGAAGGCGGCUCACUGGCCCGGUACUGACGCUGAGGCACGAAAGCGUGGGGAGCAAACAGGG